rnacentral:antisense_RNA from 1 species
CUUGAUGGAGCCGAGCCACAGCGGUCGUUCGGGGUCCCGGUUCUGUCCGUAUGUGGCGAGCAGGGCCUGUGCCUC